AGCGAACGCUGGCGGCAGGCCUAACACAUGCAAGUCGAACGAACCUUUCGGGGUUAGUGGCGGACGGGUGAGUAACACGUGGGAACGUGCCUUUAGGUUCGGAAUAACUCAGGGAAACUUGUGCUAAUACCGAAUGUGCCCUUCGGGGGAAAGAUUUAUCGCCUUUAGAGCGGCCCGCGUCUGAUUAGCUAGUUGGUUGAGGUAAUGGUUCACCAAGGCGACGAUCAGUAGCUGGUCUGAGAGGAUGAUCAGCCACAUUGGGACUGAGACACGGCCCAAACUCCUACGGGAGGCAGCAGUGGGGAAUCUUGCGCAAUGGGCGAAAGCCUGACGCAGCCAUGCCGCGUGAAUGAUGAAGGUCUUAGGAUUGUAAAAUUCUUUCACCGGGGACGAUAAUGACGGUACCCGGAGAAGAAGCCCCGGCUAACUUCGUG
rnacentral:rRNA from 1 species